rnacentral:rRNA from 1 species
AUACGUAGGGAGCAAGCGUUAUUCGGAAUUACUGGGUGUAAAGGGAGUGUAGGCGGGAUUACAAGUCAGAUGUGAAAACUGUGGGCUCAACUCACAGAUUGCAUUUGAAACUGUAGUUCUUGAGUGAAGUAGAGGUAAGUGGAAUUCCUAGUGUAGCGGUGAAAUGCGUAGAUAUUAGGAGGAACAUCAGUGGCGAAGGCGACUUACUGGGCUUUAACUGACGCUGAGGCUCGAAAGCGU